UGGAGGCACCAGUAAGGAUUUUUCCCCAAUGGGGCAAACCCUGACGGAGCAACGCCGCGUGAGUGAGGAAGGGUUUUGGCUCGUAAAACUUUGUUAUUAGGGAAGAACAAACGUGUAAGUAACCUAGCAAUUCUUGACGGUACUUAAUCAGAAAGCCACGGCUAACUACGUGCCAGCAGCCGCGGUAAUACAGAGGGGGCAAGCGUUAUUCGGAAUUAUUGGGCGUAAAGCGCGCGUAGGCGGUUUAUUAAGUCAAAUGUGAAAUCCCCCAGCUCAACUUGGGAGGGUCAUUGGAAACUGGGAGACUAGAGUGCAGAAGAGGAAAGUGGAAUCCCAUGGUAGCGGGAAAUGCGCAGAGUUAGGGAGGAACACCAGUGGGGAAGCAGCCUUUCUUGCUCAGUCACUGACGCUAAUUGCGAAAGGACC
rnacentral:rRNA from 1 species